AAGAUAUACAUAUGUUACUAUAGUUUUAAGAAUUAUGUUAAUGUAACUUUUGAACAGACGGUCGGACAUUUUUGAACUUAAUGUAUAAAAUGUAGAGCACGUCCAGAGGAACAUUUUAUACACAGUAUGUAUGCAGCAAACUCUUAUUGUUUUCUUAAUAUGCAAGCUUGAAAUUGCAGCGUAAUUUUAUUUGCACUCUGUGACCUUUGACCUUGAGUGCAAAUUGAAGGUCACAAGAACUUAGGAUUAUUAGUGUAGGUCCCAAGUCUCUACGACUUCCGGUUCUCGAAAUAGAAUUUUUCAAAAAUUGUGUAUAUUUUUUUAAGAGAAAUAACUCCUUAUAAGGGUCAAUAACAAAAUUAUUUUAUAUGUUUAUUAACAUUGCCAUCUGUUCUUGUACAUGUUGCCGUUUUCAAAUCGAUUCUAUCCCUAAUACUUUUUGAGAAAAAUGCGAAAAAAAGAAAUUGCUGCAAGGGGAUAUAACUCGCAUAGGGGAUGAUGAAAUCCUAUGCAGCCUCAUAUGGUAGUACAUCAUGAUGAGAUCUACCUAUUGUACAAAUAAGGUCAUGAUAUCUUUAAAAACAACGAGGGGGGGCCAUGUCGAAAAAAUCCAAUCAAAGGGAGAUAACUUCUACAGGGGAUGAUGAAAUCCUUAACAGGGUCAUGUGGUCAUACUUCAAGAUGAGGUCUAUCGAUGGUCAAUAUUUGGUCUUGAUAACUUCAACAGAAACGGGGGGAGGGCAUUCCCAAAAAAAUGUUGGAAGAAAAAAAAGAAAAAAAAAAAAAAAAAAAAAAAGAAAAAGAAAAAAAAAAAAAAAAAGAAAAAAAAAAAAACAUUAGAAAAACAAUAAGGUCUUUCCUAACGGAGUGGAAAGACCUUAACAAUAAG